rnacentral:rRNA from 1 species
GCAAGUCGAGGGGUAACAGGAGAAAGCUUGCUUUUUCGCUGACGACCGGCGCACGGGUGCGUAACGCGUAUGCAACCUACCCUGUACUGGGGAAUAGCCCGGAGAAAUCCGGAUUAAUGCCCCAUAGUAUCAUUCUUUCGCCUGAUAGAAUGAUUAAAGGUUACGGUACAGGAUGGGCAUGCGUCCCAUUAGCUAGAUGGUAAGGUAACGGCUUACCAUGGCAACGAUGGGUAGGGGGCCUGAGAGGGUGAUCCCCCACACUGGUACUGAGACACGGACCAGACUCCUACGGGAGGCAGCAGUGAGGAAUAUUGGACAAUGGAGGCAACUCUGAUCCAGCCAUGCCGCGUGCAGGAAGAAUGCCCUAUGGGUUGUAAACUGCUUUUAUUUGGGAAUAAACCUCCUUACGUGUAGGGAGCUGAAUGUACCAAAAGAAUAAGGAUCGGCUAACUCCGUGCCAGCAGCCGCGGUAAUACGGAGGAUCCAAGCGUUAUCCGGAAUUAUUGGGUUUAAAGGGUCCGCAGGCUGUUUGUUAAGUCAGAGGUGAAAUCCUACCGCUCAACGGUAGAACUGCCUUUGAUACUGGCAAACUUGAGUUAUUGUGAAGUAGUUAGAAUGUGUAGUGUAGCGGUGAAAUGCAUAGAUAUUACACAGAAUACCGAUUGCGAAAGCAGAUUACUAACAAUAUACUGACGCUGAGGGACGAAAGCGUGGGUAGCGAACAGGAUUAGAUACCCUGGUAGUCCACGCCGUAAACGAUGGUCACUAGCUGUUCGAUGUACAUUGGUACGUUGAGUGGCUAAGCGAAAGUGAUAAGUGACCCACCUGGGGGAGUACGCUCGCAAGGAGUGAAACUCAAAGGAAUUGACGGGGGCCCGCACAAGCGGUGGAGCCAUGGUGGUUUAAAUCGAUGAUACGCGAGGAACCCUUAACAGGGACUUAAUGUAGGUGCAUGAUCAGAAUUGAAUUCUUUCUUCGGACUACUUACAAGGUGCCUUGCAAUGGUGUCCGUCAGCCUCGUGCAGGAG